CCCACCACCAGCAUACCAGGACAAUCCUGCUGGGUACCCUCCUUCCUAUCCAAGCCAGCCAGUUCCCCAGGGCCCCUAUGUCCAAGGACCAUAUCCAGGGCAAUCCGUGGUCGCCGUGCAGCCUGCAGUUUUUGUGACCGCUGCUCCACUGGCCAAUCCACAGCCAGAUUACCUGUGCUAUUCCAUCUUUACCAUGCUGUGCUGCUGCUUUCCUCUGGGCAUCGCUGCACUGGUUUUCUCCUGCUCUACUCGAAAUGCCAACCACUCAGGACAGCGAGUAUUAGCAGAGAAGAACUCCAAAAUGGCACGCACCCUGAAUCAUCUCGCCGUUGCUGUUGGCAUCACCAUCUUUGCAUUGCUUAUUAUCUCAGAGCUUGUGCUCAAAGAGAAAUAACAGCUGUUAGAGCUGUCAUGUUUGGAUGCAGAUUACACACAGAUUUGGUCUCUGCUUUUCAGAUGUUAUUUGGUCAAAGUAUCAUAAUACUUAAUACUAUAUGCUGAUUAUUGAUAUGUUUAUGAUUAUUAUUGUUUAAAACAAAGCUUUGAAUGGCUAGCUAAAUUUAUCAUGAAAAAAAUUGCUUAAUUAAUAACAGGAAUAUAUUCUUAGUGCAAAUGAGUCUGCCAUCUCAUUUUAUAGCAAACUGUAAGACUAACCCUUUGACAAUCCAUUUUCCAUAAUUUUUUCUUUACUUCUAUAAUGCUUUGCUUUUUUAUUUAGACUUUUGCUAAAUAAACACAUGUAUGUGUUUAAUUUUUACCUUUACAUGUGUAAUGCAGGAUGAACUCAAAAACAAAAGAAAACUGGAUACAAAUGCAGUGAGUUUUAUUGACAAAAAUAAAAGUUUUAUUAACAAAGUUCA